rnacentral:rRNA from 1 species
AUACGGAGGGGGCAAGCGUUGUUCGGAAUUACUGGGCGUAAAGGGCGUGUAGGCGGUUAGGUAAGUCAGCUGUGAAAGCCCCGAGCUUAACUUGGGAAUUGCAACUGAAACUGCCUAGCUAGAGUUUUGGAGAGGAAAGCGGAACUCCCAGUGUAGCGGUGAAAUGCGUAGAUAUUGGGAGGAACACCGGUGGCGAAGGCGGCUUUCUGGACAAAAACUGACGCUGAGGCGCGAAAGCUAGGGGAGC